UACGGAGGAUGCGAGCGUUAUCCGGAUUUAUUGGGUUUAAAGGGUGCGUAGGCGGACUGUCAAGUCAGUGGUAAAAUACGGGGGCUCAACCUCCGCCCGCCGUUGAAACUGACGGUCUUGAGUGGGCGAGAAGUAUGCGGAAUGCGUGGUGUAGCGGUGAAAUGCAUAGAUAUCACGCAGAACUCCGAUUGCGAAGGCAGCAUACCGGCGCCCAACUGACGCUGAAGCACGAAAGCGUGGGUAUCGAACAGG
rnacentral:ncRNA from 2 species